rfam:Ictidomys tridecemlineatus contig013034, whole genome shotgun sequence.
GGGGAUAUAGCUCAGUUGGUAGAGUGCUUGCCUGGCAUGCACAGACCCUGGGUUCAAUCCCCAGCACCCCCC